CAGGGCACAGCCCAGCUGAGCCUCUCGGAGGAGGGAUGUGGGUUUGAAAGGCACAAUAAAGACUUUUCAAACCGCUGAGCGUGGUUUGUGUGGCACCUGAAAAUGUCACCAGGCAAUGAAAUGCCUGAAAUGCUGCCUGGGCCCUGCCAGGGGGGUUGCAAGGCACAGGUUUGGACCCCUUUCAGCCCAAGGAUUAAAGGAACGCGCUUUGAAAAAGAGAAAUGGAAAAGAAGCAGGAACUGGUACUUCCAGACUGGUACCAAAGAGAAUAUUGUGACUGAACAUCAGCUCUGCAAAACAAAAGGAGGUUGGCUGCAGUUUGAUUUAUGUGGAGAGACUCAGGCAAAUUCUGCACCAGCCACAACAUUCAUUAUGCAAAGCAGAACUUGCUGCACAGUCACCCAUGGUCAAGAAUCUGGAGAAGAGAAAUGUGCAAAACCCUUUGCAGCCAUGCAUUGCAUCAGAAACCGAGGGGGAAAUAAAAAACCAGAACAAUUAGGCAUGCCUAUGAGUGAGCCUCACCAUAAACAAAUCAAACUUGGAAAGCGCCGGGCUGCUAACACAGGGAGCUGGGAAAACACGGACCGGAUUCCUGCUGGAGUCCGGAAUGGAGUCGGCAAAAGUGAAAAUUUGGACUAG
rnacentral:lncRNA from 1 species